AGCCUCGUGGUGGAGUACACAUAAGAUUGCAAAUCUUAAGACGCAGACUAACGUCUGCCGGGGCUU
rnacentral:tRNA from 1 species